GAUGAACGCUAGCGGCAGGCCUUACACAUGCAAGUCGAACGGCAGCACGGGGCAACCUGGUGGCGAGUGGCGAACGGGUGAGUAAUGCAUCGGAACGUACCUUUCAGUGGGGGAUAACGUAGCGAAAGUUACGCUAAUACCGCAUAUUCUGUGAGCAGGAAAGCAGGGGAUCGCAAGACCUUGCGCUGAUUGAGCGGCUGAUGUCAGAUUAGCUAGUUGGUGAGGUAAAGGCUCACCAAGGCGACGAUCUGUAGCGGGUCUGAGAGGAUGAUCCGCCACACUGGAACUGAGACACGGUCCAGACUCCUACGGGAGGCAGCAGUGGGGAAUUUUGGACAAUGGGGGCAACCCUGAUCCAGCCAUGCCGCGUGAGUGAAGAAGGCCUUCGGGUUGUAAAGCUCUUUCGGCCGGGAAGAAAUCGCACGGGCUAAUACCCUGUGUGGAUGACGGUACCGGAAUAAGAAGCACCGGCUAACUACGUGCCAGCAGCCGCCGUAA
rnacentral:rRNA from 1 species